AUCUUUACAACGUAUUUUUUUUUUCUGUUUUUUUGAGAGAGAGAGUUAUUAUGCUAUCCGCUUUAUUCAUUUUUUUAAAAAAUAAACUUAGCUAAAAAUAUAAGACAACUAAACUUCAAAUUUGGGAUCUCGAGUACCAACCACUAAGCUCCUUGUCAUUUGGUGUCUUUAUUUUUUAAUUUUUUUUUUAAAAAAUAGAAUAUCUAUAUAAAAUAGACAGUACAUUCUUUUCAAAGAUUAUCAUCACAACUUUGCUGAGAUACCUUAUAAUCAACUCAAAAAAAAAAAAGUCGACAUACACCAGCAUAUUAAUUAUAUAGAAUUAAUAGUAAAAAUUUAAAAAGUAAACGAGACAGCAAUUUCAAAUAAGAUCGAAAUUUUUAUAUCCUUUU
rnacentral:lncRNA from 1 species